rnacentral:lncRNA from 1 species
CUCUUCCUCACAGCAACACUUGUAUGAAAUACUAACCAACCAUGUCUAUACUAAAGCAACAGGUCCUUGGUCAUGAAAAUCAACAUUUUAACUUAACAUCCUUCAAAAAAUCUCACCAACUUAGGACCAAGCACAGACUAGGGAGUGCCUCUAUAAAAGCAUGGGAGCAGCGUUGAACUUUUAGUACAAAUUUAUGUUUUUCCACUGGUAAUCGAUUACAGCCACUCUGUAAUCGAUUACACGGGCAUAUAAGUGUCAAUCUGACUCUUCCUCACAGCAANACUUGUAUGAAAUACUAACCAACCAUGUCUAUACUAAAGCAACAGGUCCUUGGUCUUGAAAAUCAACCUUUUAACUCAACAUCCUUCAAAAUAUCUCAC